rfam:Ornithorhynchus anatinus chromosome 4, whole genome shotgun sequence.
UCCCUGCUCAGGAUCACACCUGGAGAGUUUCCAGUACUCUACCAGUCUCGACUAUGGGAGGGAGAGUCAAGCAGAGACCUACCCAUUCCAUUCCUCGCUUGGCCAGUGGCUAGCGAGUGGAAGACAAUCUGCCACAAGU